rnacentral:rRNA from 1 species
UGCGUAGGCGGCGGGGAAAGUCAGAUGUGAAAUCCGGAGGCUCAACCUCCGAAUUGCAUCCGAUACUACCUCGCUAGAGAUUUGUAGAGGAGCUUGGAAUUCUCGGUGUAGCAGUGAAAUGCGUAGAUAUCGAGAAGAACGCUCGCAGCGAAGGCGAAGCUCUGGGCAAAUUCUGACGCUGAUGCACGAAGGCUAGGGGAGCAAAC